rnacentral:rRNA from 1 species
AUUUGUUGGAGAGUUUGAUCCUGGCUCAGGAUAAACGUUGGCGGCGUGCCUAAUGCAUGCAAGUCGAGGGACGAAUCUGGCUUCGGCCAGUUGAAACCGGCGAACGGGUGAGUAACACGUACCUAUCUACCUUUAAGUGGGGGACAACUUCGGGAAACCGAAGCUAAUACCGCAUGUUGUCGAAAGACUAAAGCCUUCGGGCGCUUUUAGAGGAGGGUGCGACAGAUUAGCUUGUUGGUAGGGUAAUGGCUUACCAAGGCGACGAUCUGUAGCUGGUCUGAGAGGACGGUCAGCCACACUGGGACUGAGACACGGCCCAGACUCCUACGGGAGGCAGCAGCAAGGAAUUUUCCGCAAUGGACGAA